AAGCUCGUAGUUGAAUUUCGGGGUCAGCAGGUUGGUCGUGCCAAUGGUAUGAACUGGCCUUGCUGAUUCCUACCCUCUUGAUGAGCCGUAAUGCCAUUAAUUUGGUGUUGCGGGGAAUCAGGACUGUUACUUUGAAAAAAUUAGAGUGUUUAAAGCAGGCAAGCGCUUGAAUACAUUAGCAUGGAAUAAUGAAAUAGGACGUUUGAUCCUAUUUUAGUUGGUUUCUAGGAUUGACGUAAUGAUUAAUAGGGAUAGUUGGG
rnacentral:rRNA from 1 species